rnacentral:lncRNA from 1 species
GUGCGCUGUGUUCUACGUGCUCUGUGCUGUGCGCUGUGCUGUGUGCUGAGCUGUGCUGGCAUCGUUCUCACUCCUCCUGGUGGCUGUGGGAGGAUGGACUGGUGGUUUUGGAGGAAUCCAGAGAAAUGGCUGAAUCCCACCUCUGAGCUGGAGCAGAGAAGGGAAAAAAGAAGUCUGGUUGGUCUGAGAAUGAACCCCACAGUCCAGAGGCAGCAGUGAGCUCCUGGGAAUCUGGAUAAACUUGAGGAGGACACUGUUCAUUGUACUUUACGCCAACGUGGACUGGAGGAUACAACCCGUUUUAUUUCAGUCCCAGAGUGACCUCGGAUGACACGUGGGAGAGCGCUGUACAUUCAUGCAUAUAUAUACAUGUAUGUGAUUUGUAACAUGUAUAUUAUGUGGUUUAUAUAACAGAUGCAUGACAUAAACAUGUACCGGUAGAGACGUAGAGAAUUCUUUAUAAAAAGUGACAUAAUAUAAUGAAUCAAUAAAUCUAUAUAUAUAGUAUACAUUGUAUAUUAUGUAAAUGUAACAUGGCAUAUUAUAAAACAUCUAUAAAACAAACAUAACACAUAUACUGUUUUAUAUAUGAUAUGUAAGCACAUAUUUAUAUACUCUUUAUUAAAAUGUAACAUUAUAUGAUU